GGCCCGGUAGUUCAGUUGGUUAGAAUGCUAGCCUGUCACGCUAGAGGUCACGAGUUCGAGUCUCGUUCGGGUCG
rnacentral:tRNA from 1 species